rnacentral:rRNA from 1 species
GAAGUGUGGACGCCAGUCUGCAUGGAGCCGACCUUGAAAUACCACCCUUUAAUGUUUGAUGUUCUAACGUUGGCCCCUAAUCGGGGUUGCGGACAGUGUCUGGUGGGUAGUUUGACUGGGGCGGUCUCCUCCUAAAGAGUAACGGAGGAGCACGAAGGUUGGCUAAUCCUGGUCGGACAUCAGGAGGUUAGUGCAAUGGCAUAAGCCAGCUUGACUGCGAGCGUGACGGCGCGAGCAGGUGCGAAAGCAGGUCAUAGUGAUCCGGUGGUUCUGAAUGGAAGGGCCAUCGCUCAACGGAUAAAAGGUACUCCGGGGAUAACAGGCUGAUACCGCCCAAGAGUUCAUAUCGACGGCGGUGUUUGGCACCUCGAUGUCGGCUCAUCACAUCCUGGGGCUGAAGUAGGUCCCAAGGGUAUGGCUGUUCGCCAUUUAAAGUGGUACGCGAGCUGGGUUUAGAACGUCGUGAGACAGUUCGGUCCCUAUCUGCCGUGGGCGCUGGAGAACUGAGGGGGGCUGCUCCUAGUACGAGAGGACCGGAGUGGACGCAUCACUGGUGUUCGGGUUGUCAUGCCAAUGGCACUGCCCGGUAGCUAAAUGCGGAAGAGAUAAGUGCUGAAAGCAUCUAAGCACGAAACUUGCCCCGAGAUGAGUUCUCCCUGAC